rnacentral:rRNA from 1 species
GACGAACGCUGGCGGCGUGCUUAACACAUGCAAGUCGAACGAAGUGGCGAACGGGUGAGUAACGCGUAAUCACCUUGCUCUUCAGAGGGGGACAACAGUUGGAAACGACUGCUAAUACCGCAUACUGAAGGAGGAGAUUGCGUCUGAUUAGCUAGUUGGAGGGGUAACGGGCCACCAAGGCGAUGAUCAGUAGGCGGUCUGGGAGGAGGGACGGGCACAUUGGGACUGGGAAAAGGCCCAGAAUCCUACGGGAGGCAGCCGUGGGGAAUCUUCCGCAAUGGAAGAAAGUCUGACGGGGGAAAGCCGCGUGAGGGAUGACGGCCUUCGGGUUGUAAAGCUUUUUUAAUCGGGACGCGGUACCGGAAUAGAAAGCCACGGCUAACUACGUGCCAGCAGCCGCGGUAAUAC